rnacentral:rRNA from 1 species
GACGAACGCUGGCGGCGUGCCUAACACAUGCAAGUCGAACGGAGAUAUCAAUGAAGCUUGCGAUUUGAUAUCUUAGUGGCGGACGGGUGAGUAACGCGUGGGUAAUCUGCCCAUAAGUGGGGAACAACAGAUGGAAACGACUGCUAAUACCGCAUACGCUACCUUCGGGUAGGAAAGGUGGCCUCUGAAUAUGCUGCCGCUUAUGGAUGAGCCCGCGUCUGAUUAGCUAGUUGGUGGGGUAAAGGCCUACCAAGGCAACGAUCAGUAGCCGGCCUGAGAGGGUGGAAGGCCACACUGGGACUGAUACACGGCCCAGGCUCCUACGGGAGGCAGCAGUGGGGAAAAUUGCGCAAUGGGGGAAGCACUGACGCAGCGACGCCGCGUGAGCGAUGAAGGCCUUAGGGUUGUAAAGCUCUGUUUUAAGGGACGAAUGUUACGGGGAGUAAUAUGCCCUGUAAAUGACGGUACCUUAAGAGGAAGCCCCGGCUAACUACGUGCCAGCAGCCGCCGUAACAC